rnacentral:lncRNA from 1 species
UUUUUUCAUUUUUUUCCUAGAUGCAUUUAUUCAAAAUGUUUUAUCACUUAAAUUGUGUGUAAAAAUUCUGAACUAUUUUCAUCGCUAAAUUUCUCGCGUCGAAAUCUUCACAACAAGAUCCCAUAUUAAUACCUUUCGACGAACUUUUUUCAUGAAUAAACCGGAAGAAAAAAUUAAGCCGGAAGCAUAUUUGUUUCCCACCUCCCACCCUGUUUCUGAG